rnacentral:rRNA from 1 species
UACGAAGGGGGCUAGCGUUGUUCGGAAUCACUGGGCGUAAAGGGCGCGUAGGCGGCCGAUCAAGUCGGGGGUGAAAGCCUGUGGCUCAACCACAGAAUUGCCUUCGAUACUGUUUGGCUUGAGACCGGAAGAGGUAAGUGGAACGUGCGAGUGUAGAGGUGAAAUUCGAUAGAUAUUCGCAAGAACACCAGUGGCGAAGGCGGCUCACUGGUC